rnacentral:misc_RNA from 1 species
UCUCCGUUGGUGAACCAGCGGAGGGAUCAUUAUCGAGUUUAUAACUCCCAAACCCUAUGUGAACUUACCACUUGUUGCUUCGGCGCGCGCUUCGGUGCCGCCGAGGACACUUAAACUCUUUGUUUUUAUAAGCAUUUCUGAGUGGCCGAAAGGCAAAAUACAAAUGAAUCAAAACUUUCAACAACGGAUCUCAUGGUUCUG